rnacentral:rRNA from 1 species
UCGACGGACUUAACCAUUAGUUACUAUUGGAGCGGUUAGUGGCGGACUGGUGAGUAACACGUAAGCAACCUGCCUAUCAGAGGGGAACAACAGUUAGAAAUGACUGCUAAUACCGCAUAUACCUAAGUAUCGCAUGAUACAAUAGGGAAAGGAGCAAUCCGCUGAUAGAUGGGCUUGCGUCUGAUUAGCUAGUUGGUGGGGUAACGGCCUACCAAGGCGACGAUCAGUAGCCGGACUGAGAGGUUGAACGGCCACAUUGGGACUGAGAUACGGCCCAGACUCCUACGGGAGGCAGCAGUCGGGAAUAUUGCGCAAUGGAGGAAACUCUGACGCAGUGACGCCGCGUGCAGGAAGAAGGUUUUCGGAUUGUAAACUGCUUUAGACAGGGAAGAAACAAGACAGUACCUGUAAAAUAAGCUCCGGCUAACUACGUGCCAGCAGCCGCGGUAAUACGUAGGGAGCAAGCGUUAUCCGGAUUUAUUGGGUGUAAAGGGUGCGUAGACGGGAAGGCAAGUUAGUUGUGAAAUCCCUCGGCUUAACUGAGGAACUGCAACUAAAACUAUCUUUCUUGAGUGCUGGAGAGGAAAGUGGAAUUCCUAGUGUAGCGGUGAAAUGCGUAGAUAUUAGGAGGAACACCAGUGGCGAAGGCGACUUUCUGGACAGUAACUGACGUUGAGGCACGAAAGUGUGGGGAGCAAACAGGAUUAGAUACCCUGGUAGUCCACACCGUAAACGAUGGAUACUAGGUGUAGGAGAUGAAUAAUCUUCUGUGCCGUCGCAAACGCAGUAAGUAUCCCACCUGGGGAGUACGGCCGCAAGGUUGAAACUCAAAGGAAUUGACGGGGGCCCGCACAAGCAGU